AACCAUAGACUUAGUAUAUACUGGCGUAUAGACCAACAAAGCGAGCGAGGGAGAAGAAAAUCCCUUACGGAAAUUUGGCAAGAUAGAAAAGGAUAGCGAAUCCAAUGAAACUGUGACUGGUUUUGAAUGACAGGUCAUCACAAGUCGGCACGCGGAGAAACAACCCUUUAGUAUUUUGGAUUUUUUGCGUACAUCGUGGUUUAUUUUCAGUAAAUCUAAUUGUAUUCAACAAUGGUUACAUGUUCUGUGAGUAAUUGUGGUGUUAAUAAUAGAAAUAAUCCUGAAAAUUGCACAUUUCACAGAUUCCCUCUAGAUACUAUACUAAGAGGAAAAUGGUUGAGAUUAAUUGGGCGCGUUGGUUGGAAUCCAAAGAAGAACUCUACCAUUUGCAGCAAACAUUUCCCGGACGAAUAUAAAAGAAAAAGACGAAUAAAUACAGUUUUAGUUAAAGGAGCCAUUCCAACUUUAUUUGUACCAGGACAUAUAAAAGAGAG